UACGUAGGCAGCGAGCGUUGUUCGGAAUUACUGGGCGUAAAGAGUGUGUAGGCGGCGCUCUAAGUUCGGUGUGAAAUCUCUCGGCUUAACUGAGAGGGUGCGCCGGAAACUGGAGUGCUCGAACGUGGGAGAGGAAAGCGGAAUUCCUGGUGUAGCGGUGAAAUGCGUAGAUAUCUGGAGGAACACCGGUGGCGAAGGCGGCAUCCUGGACCGGUAUUGACGCUGAGGCGCGAAAGCCAGGGGAGCAAACGGG
rnacentral:rRNA from 1 species